CCAAUAGCGGAUAUGCCUGUGGGGGCAGUUAAAAAGCUCGUAGUUGAAUUUCGGGAUCAGUACGUUGGUCGUGCUUUCGGGUAUGUACUGGUGUUACUGAUUCCUCCCUUCUGACGAACUAUCAUGACAUUUACUUGGUGUGGUGGGAAAUCGGGACUGUUACUUUGAAAAAAUUAGAGUGUUUAAAGCAGGCUCACGCUUGAAUACAUUAGCAUGGACUAAUGAAAUAGGACGUUGAUCUUAUUUUGUUGGUUUCUAGGAUUGACGUAAUGAUUAAUAGGGAUAGUUGGGGGAAUUAGUAUUCAAUUGUCAGAGGUGAAAAUCUUGGAUUUAUUGAAGACUAACUACUGAGAAAGCAUUUGCCAAGGAUGUUGUCAUUAAUCAAGAACGAAAGUUAGGGGAGCGAAGACGAUCAGAUACCGUUUUAGUCUUAACCAGAAACUAUGCCGACUAGGGAUCGGAUGAUGUUAAUUUUUUUAAUGACUCAUUCGGCGCCUUACG
rnacentral:rRNA from 1 species